rnacentral:tRNA from 1 species
GCAUCUGUGGCUCAAUGGGAUAGAAGCAUCUGACUACGGAUCAGAGGGUAGAGGGUACGAAUUCCUGCCAGGUGCG